rnacentral:rRNA from 1 species
AUUGAACGCUGGUGGCAGGCCUAACACAUGCAAGUCGAACGAGUGGCGGACGGGUGAGUAAUGUCUGGGAAACUGCCCGAUGGAGGGGGAUAACUACUGGAAACGGUAGCUAAUACCGCAUACCAUCGGAUGUGCCCAGAUGGGAUUGGCUAGUCGGUGUGGUAACGGCUCACCGAGGCGACGAUCCCUAGCUGGUCUGAGAGGAUGCCCAGCCACACUGUAACUGAGACACGGUCCAGACUCCUACGGGAGGCAGCAGUGGGGAAUAUUGCACAAUGGGCGGAAGCAUGAUGCAGCCAUGCCGCGUGUAUGAAGAAGGCCUUAGGGUUGUAAAGUACUUUCAGCGAGGAGGCGUUACUCGCAGAAGAAGCACCGGCUAACUCCGUGCCAGCAGCCGCGGUAAUUC